rnacentral:rRNA from 1 species
UACGGAGGGUGCAAGCGUUAUCCGGAUUCACUGGGUUUAAAGGGUGCGUAGGAGGGCAGGUAAGUCAGUGGUGAAAUCCCCGAGCUUAACUUGGGAACUGCCGUUGAUACUAUCUGCCUUGAAUACCGUGGAGGUGAGCGGAAUAUGUCAUGUAGCGGUGAAAUGCUUAGAUAUGACAUAGAACACCAAUUGCGAAGGCAGCUCGCUACACGAAUAUUGACUCUGAGGCACGAAAGCGUGGGGAUCAAACAG